rnacentral:rRNA from 1 species
UGCAGUCGAGCGAGAACCUGUCCUUCGGGACAGGGGACAGCGGCGAACGGGUGAGUAACACGUGGGUAAUCAACCCCUGGCUCCGGGAUAGCCCGAGGAAACUCGGAUUAAUACCGGAUGGCCCAACUGCGUCCUUCGGGGCGGUUGGAAAAGGUAGCUUCGGCCUCCGGCCAGGGACGAGCCCGCGGCGGAUUAGCUUGUUGGUGGGGUAAUGGCCUACCAAGGCGACGAUCCGUAGCUGGUCUGAGAGGACGAUCAGCCACACUGGGACUGAGACACGGCCCAGACUCCUACGGGAGGCAGCAGUGGGGAAUCUUGCACAAUGGGCGGAAGCCUGAUGCAGCGACGCCGCGUGAGGGAAGAAGGCUUUCGGGUUGUAAACCUCUUUCAGGAGGGACGAAGCUCCUCGGGUUAAUAGCCCAGAGGGUGACGGUACCUCCAGAAGAAGCCCCGGCUAACUACGUGCCAGCAGCCGCGGUAAUACGUAGGGGGCAAGCGUUGUCCGGAUUUAUUGGGCGUAAAGAGCGUGUAGGCGGCCAGAUAGGUCCGUUGUGAAAACUCGAGGCUCAACCUCGAGACGCCGAUGGAAACCAUUUGGCUAGAGUCCGGAAGAGGAGAGUGGAAUUCCUGGUGUAGCGGUGAAAUGCGCAGAUAUCAGGAAGAACACCCGUGGCUAAGGCGGCUCUCUAGUACGGUACUGACGCUGAGACGCGAAAGCGUGGGGAGCGAACAGGAUUAGAUACCCUGGUAGUCCACGCCGUAAACGAUGGGUGCUAGGGGUGGGGGGUGUCGACUCCCUCC